GAUGAACGCUGGCGGCGUGCCUAAUACAUGCAAGUCGAGCGAACUGAUUAGAAGCUUGCUUCUAUGACGUUAGCGGCGGACGGGUGAGUAACACGUGGGCAACCUGCCUGUAAGACUGGGAUAACUUCGGGAAACCGAAGCUAAUACCGGAUAGGAUCUUCUCCUUCAUGGGAGAUGAUUGAAAGAUGGUUUCGGCUAUCACUUACAGAUGGGCCCGCGGUGCAUUAGCUAGUUGGUGAGGUAACGCCUCACCAAGGCAACGAUGCAUAGCCGACCUGAGAGGGUGAGCGGCCACACUGGGCCUGAGACACGGCCGAGACUCCUACGGGCGGCAGCAGUAGGGAAUCUUCCGCAAUGGACGAAAGUCUGACGGAGCAACGCCGCGUGAGUGAUGAAGGCUUUCGGGUCGUAAAACUCUGUUGUUAGGGAAGAACAAGUACGAGAGUAACUGCUCGUACCUUGACGGUACCUAACCAGAAAGCCACGGCUAACUACGUGCCAGCAGCCGCGGUAAGAC
rnacentral:rRNA from 1 species